rnacentral:rRNA from 1 species
GGGUUGUGAGGUUAAGCGACUAAGCGUACACGGUGGAUGCCUAGGCAGUCAGAGGCGAUGAAGGGCGUGCUAAUCUGCGAAAAGCGUCGGUAAGGUGAUAUGAACCGUUAUAACCGACGAUACCCGAAUGGGGAAACCCAGUGCAAUUCGUUGCACUAUUGCAUGGUGAAUACAUAGCCAUGCAAGGCGAACCGGGGGAACUGAAACAUCUAAGUACCCCGAGGAAAAGAAAUCAACCGAGAUUCCCCCAGUAGCGGCGAGCGAACGGGGAGGAGCCCAGAACCUGAAUCAGCAUAUGUGUUAGUGGAAGCGUCUGGAAAGUCGCACGGUACAGGGUGAUAGUCCCGUACACAAAAAUGCAUAUGUUGUGAGUUCGAUGAGUAGGGCGGGACACGUGACAUCCUGUCUGAAUAUGGGGGGACCAUCCUCCAAGGCUAAAUACUCCUGACUGACCGAUAGUGAACCAGUACCGUGAGGGAAAGGCGAAAAGAACCCCGGCGAGGGGAGUGAAAUAGAACCUGAAACCGUGUACGUACAAGCAGUGGGAGCACCUUCGUGGUGUGACUGCGUACCUUUUGUAUAAUGGGUCAGCGACUUAUAUUUUGUAGCAAGGUUAACCGAAUAGGGGAGCCGUAGGGAAACCGAGUCUUAACUGGGCGAAUAGUUGCAAGGUAUAGACCCGAAACCCGGUGAUCUAGCCAUGGGCAGGUUGAAGGUUGGGUAACACUAACUGGAGGACCGAACCGACUAAUGUUGAAAAAUUAGCGGAUGACUUGUGGCUGGGGGUGAAAGGCCAAUCAAACCGGGAGAUAGCUGGUUCUCCCCGAAAGCUAUUUAGGUAGCGCCUCGUGAACUCAUCUUCGGGGUAGAGCACUGUUUCGGCUAGGGGGUCAUCCCGACUUACCAAACCGAUGCAAACUCCGAAUACCGAAGAAUGUUAUCACGGGAGACACACGGCGGGUGCUAACGUCCGUCGUGAAGAGGGAAACAACCCAGACCGCCAGCUAAGGUCCCAAAGUCAUGGUUAAGUGGGAAACGAUGUGGGAAGGCAUAGACAGCCAGGAUGUUGGCUUAGAAGCAGCCAUCAUUUAAAGAAAGCGUAAUAGCUCACUGGUCGAGUCGGCCUGCGCGGAAGAUGUAACGGGGCUAAACCAUGCACCGAAGCUGCGGCAGCGACACUUAGGUGUUGUUGGGUAGGGGAGCGUUCUGUAAGCCGUUGAAGGUGACCUGUGAGGGUUGCUGGAGGUAUCAGAAGUGCGAAUGCUGACAUAAGUAACGAUAAUGCGGGUGAAAAACCCGCACGCCGGAAGACCAAGGGUUCCUGUCCAACGUUAAUCGGGGCAGGGUGAGUCGACCCCUAAGGCGAGGCUGAAAAGCGUAGUCGAUGGGAAACAGGUUAAUAUUCCUGUACUUGGUGUUACUGCGAAGGGGGGACGGAGAAGGCUAGGCUAGCCGGGCGACGGUUGUCCCGGUUUAAGCAUGUAGGCGGAGUGACUUGGUAAAUCCGGUUGCUUAUCAACGCUGAGGUGUGAUGACGAGUCACUACGGUGAUGAAGUAGUUGAUGCCAAGCUUCCAGGAAAAGCCUCUAAGCAUCAGGUAACAUUAAAUCGUACCCCAAACCGACACAGGUGGUCAGGUAGAGAAUACUCAGGCGCUUGAGAGAACUCGGGUGAAGGAACUAGGCAAAAUGGUGCCGUAACUUCGGGAGAAGGCACGCUGGCAUUAGGUAAAGGGACUUGCUCCCGGAGCUGAAGCCAGUCGCAGAUACCAGCUGGCUGCAACUGUUUAAUAAAAACACAGCACUGUGCAAACACGAAAGUGGACGUAUACGGUGUGACGCCUGCCCGGUGCUGGAAGGUUAAUUGAUGGGGUCAGCCGCAAGGCGAAGCUCUUGAUCGAAGCCCCAGUAAACGGCGGCCGUAACUAUAACGGUCCUAAGGUAGCGAAAUUCCUUGUCGGGUAAGUUCCGACCUGCACGAAUGGCGUAAUGAUGGCCAGGCUGUCUCCACCCGAGACUCAGUGAAAUUGAACUCGCUGUGAAGAUGCAGUGUACCCGCGGCAAGACGGAAAGACCCCGUGAACCUUUACUAUAGCUUGACACUGAACAUUGAGCCUUGAUGUGUAGGAUAGGUGGGAGGCAUUGAAGUGUGGACGCCAGUCUGCAUGGAGCCAACCUUGAAAUACCACCCUUUAAUGUUUGAUGUUCUAACUCGGCCCCGUGAUCCGGGGUGAGGACAGUGUCUGGUGGGUAGUUUGACUGGGGCGGUCUCCUCCCAAAGAGUAACGGAGGAGCACGAAGGUUAGCUAAUCACGGUCGGACAUCGUGAGGUUAGUGCAAAGGCAUAAGCUAGCUUGACUGCGAGAGUGACGGCUCGAGCAGGUACGAAAGUAGGUCUUAGUGAUCCGGUGGUUCUGAAUGGAAGGGCCAUCGCUCAACGGAUAAAAGGUACUCCGGGGAUAACAGGCUGAUACCGCCCAAGAGUUCAUAUCGACGGCGGUGUUUGGCACCUCGAUGUCGGCUCAUCACAUCCUGGGGCUGAAGUAGGUCCCAAGGGUAUGGCUGUUCGCCAUUUAAAGUGGUACGCGAGCUGGGUUUAGAACGUCGUGAGACAGUUCGGUCCCUAUCUGCCGUGGGCGUUGGAAGAUUGAGAGGGGCUGCUCCUAGUACGAGAGGACCGGAGUGGACGAAUCACUGGUGUUCGGGUUGUCAUGCCAAUGGCAUUGCCCGGUAGCUAAAUUCGGAAGAGAUAACCGCUGAAAGCAUCUAAGCGGGAAACUUGCCUCGAGAUGAGUCUUCCCUGGGGCUUUAAGUCCCCUGAAGGAACGUUAAAGACUAUGACGUUGAUAGGCUGGGUGUGUAAGUGCAGCGAUGCAUUGAGCUAACCAGUACUAAUGAUCCGUGAGGCUUAACCUUACAACACCGAAGGUGUUU